rnacentral:snoRNA from 1 species
AAGGCCAUCCUUGCAGGGAUCAUUUCUGUAGCUGUUUACUAGAAAAGCUCUGCUGACUGUGUCACGCACCAAGGACCAUGAUGAGGAGCCACCGCACUCUCCCGAGUGUGAAGCUGGCUGUAGGUGUUGAUUUUUGCAACUGCUUUUUGCCAUUGAUGAUGGUUCUUCUUUCCCGCUGGGAGAAUAAGAGAGAGAGUGUGGGUUCUGAGUGG